rnacentral:rRNA from 1 species
UACGUAGGGGGCUAGCGUUAUCCGGAAUUACUGGGCGUAAAGGGUGCGUAGGUGGUUUCUUAAGUCAGAGGUGAAAGGCUACGGCUCAACCGUAGUAAGUCUUUGAAACUGGGGAACUUGAGUGCAGAAGAGGAGAGUGGAAUUCCUAGUGUAGCGGUGAAAUGCGUAGAUAUUAGGAGGAACACCAGUUGCGAAGGCGGCUCUCUGGACUGUAACUGACACUGAGGCACGAAAGCGUGGGGAGCAAACAGG